rnacentral:tRNA from 1 species
GGGAAGAUGCCUCAGUGGUAGAGCGCUUGCCUUGCAUGCAUGAGGCCUUGGGUUCGAUUCCUCAGCACCCUA